CAGGAUUUAAGACACUUUGAAAAUGGGCAAAGCCUCAUUUUUCCUAGGUCAAAAGGAGUUCAAGAUUGGGGAAAUCUGAGGAUUCAGAAGGAUGAUAAAUAUGUCACCAGCACUAACACCUGUCCUAGUUCCAGCUCUGGUGAACUCCAGCAGACCUGCUCAAGUGGACAGCAUUAGGAACCUUGUCAGUUUUGCAGUGCUUUUUGCCUGAAGCCACCUCAGAUCCCUCAUGCUGCAGUUCCUUUUGGCCGCAAUCUGAAUGCAGUCCUGUAUGGAAUAAAGGAAUAUCAUAAGUAUAUAUUUUUUAAAACAGCAACACGAUUCAUGACUCUGUUGCAGAAUGUGAAGGAGCAAGUCUCUCAAUUGGCUAAUUGAAUCAAGCUCUGCAAUUUCCUUCUUCCCUGGAGCCUGAUCCUGCAGGACAAGGAUCUAUUUUCAAGUCAAUUACAAUUCCUAAGGGAUAUAAUUACCUACAAAAUCAGCAAAGGAACCCUAUUUCUCUUAUGAAGGAGGGACGUGUGAAGUGAUAGCAGCACACCGAUGUUGUAACAAGAAUCGCAUUGAGGAGCGGUCACAAACAGUAAAGUGUUCCUGUCUACCUGGAAAAGUGGCUGGAACAACAAGAAACCGGCCUUCUUGCGUUGAUGG
rnacentral:sRNA from 1 species